UGCCUAAUACAUGCAAGUCGAGCGAACUGAUUAGAAGCUUGCUUCUAUGACGUUAGCGGCGGACGGGUGAGUAACACGUGGGCAACCUGCCUGUAAGACUGGGAUAACUUCGGGAAACCGAAGCUAAUACCGGAUAGGAUCUUCUCCUUCAUGGGAGAUGAUUGAAAGAUGGUUUCGGCUAUCACUUACAGAUGGGCCCGCGGUGCAUUAGCUAGUUGGUGAGGUAACGGCUCACCAAGGCAACGAUGCAUAGCCGACCUGAGAGGGUGAUCGGCCACACUGGGACUGAGACACGGCCCAGACUCCUACGGGAGGCAGCAGUAGGGAAUCUUCCGCAAUGGACGAAAGUCUGACGGAGCAACGCCGCGUGAGUGAUGAAGGCUUUCGGGUCGUAAAACUCUGUUGUUAGGGAAGAACAAGUACAAGAGUAACUGCUUGUACCUUGACGGUACCUAACCAGAAAGCCACGGCUAACUACGUGCCAGCAGCCGCGGUAAUAC
rnacentral:rRNA from 1 species